AUGGCACAUUUCUGGGGAAGGGAAGUGUUAAAUAGACAAGGAAAUCAAGUGAUCGUUAUAGUUGUGACUGAGGUGGGGAAAAAGCUUGAUUGAGAUGUGAGAUCUUAGUACUAGGAGAAAUCUACUUAGGGUGCUGUCCACUCUAAAAACUUUUCCCCACCCGCAUGCACUCCAGCUUCUGGAAACUUGGUUCAUUCCAUGGAUAAUGCUACAAAUUUGAGGCAUUUUUGGAUAGAACGAAGGAGAGUGGUGGUCUACCAAGAGAGAGUGUUGAGGC
rnacentral:lncRNA from 1 species